rnacentral:rRNA from 3 species
AUUUGGAGAGGAUGCUUUUGGCGCGGCGCCGUCCGAGUUCCUUGGAACAGGACGCCAUAGAGGGUGAGAGCCCCGUACGGGCGGCCGCCUAGCCUUUGUAAAGCUCCUUCGACGAGUCGAGUAGUUUGGGAAUGCUGCUCAAAAUGGGAGGUAAAUUUCUUCUAAAGCUAAAUACCGGCCAGAGACCGAUAGCGCACAAGUAGAGUGAUCGAAAGAUGAAAAGCACUUUGAAAAGAGGGUUAAAAAGUACGUGAAAUUGUUGAAAGGGAAGCGCCUGUGACCAGACUUGCGGCCCGUGGAUCAUCCGGUGUUCUUCACCGGUGCACUCCGCGGGCUGCAGGCCAGCAUCGGUUUUCCUAGGGGGAUAAAGGUCGCGGGAACGUAGCUCCCUCGGGAGUGUUAUAGCCCGUGGCGUCAUGCCUCUGGGGGGACCGAGGACCGCGCUUCGGCAAGGAUGCUGGCGUAAUGGUCACCGGCGACCCGUCUUGAAACACGGACCAAGGAGUCAAGCAUUGGGGCGAGUGUCUGGGUGCCAAACCCGCACGCGAAAUGAAAGUAAACGCAGGUGAGAGCUUCGGCGCAUCACCGACCGAUCCUGAUGUUCUCGGAUGGAUUUGAGUAAGAGCCUUACCGCUUGGACCCGAAAGAUGGUGAACUAUGCCUGUAUAGGGUGAAGCCAGAGGAAACUCUGGUGGAGG